CCUCGCCCUUUUUCUACGGGAGCCAGUUUCAGACCACGCCAGGAAAUCCCUAAGGUUGUGAACCAACCUUUCCACCACCACCCACACCCCAGUGAAAAACAGGGGGUGCAGAAGAAUAAAGAGAAGAGAAAGUAUCACAUAUGGACAUUCUGGAAAGCAAGGGAACGUCGAAAACAUCAAGGCUAAAGCCAAACAGCAAAAUGGAAUCUGAAGUCGAAGCCUAAAAGAAUGAGAACAGGCAAGACCAAGAGGAGCUUACAACACUUGAAGAAUGAUGCAGGUUAUCGUUAAUGCCAUGUAAGCACCCUCUAGAAGCACAAGAAAAGUUCUCGAGGAGACCUGAAUUACACAACAAAAACAUUUAGAGGAAGACAGCCCAAUGUCAUGUAAGUAUUUGUGUAUUUGUUCUUGCCGUGGCUCACAAGGGACACAGCGAGCCCCCUCCCUGACUGAAUGCUGGAUAUUAUUUAAACUCUGCCAUCACACUCCAAUGCUUUCCAAUAGCUAAAAGAAUUUUGCAUUUCUUCCCAUAGGGACUGUAAACUCAAAAAGAAGGAUUCUCCUGCAAUAAAUUGUAUCUAUUUUAUUUUCUGAAAUAGUUACUUUUAAAAAAUAUAUGCUAAGAAAAAAAUGAAAGGGGAAAAAUAGGGCCUCCAUUUGUGAAUUGUGCUCUUUUUUAUUCCUACUAUUUCCAAGACCAAGCAAAUUAUCAUAAUUUUCCUACCAGAGAUACACAAUUCCACCUAAGAAUUGCUGUUUUCCAAAACCAGUGAAAAGCAAAGUUUCCAAUAGAUGCUGAGAUAAAUCUUCUGUAUGUACUUGUAUGUGUACCCUAGCAAUCCUUUUGAAUUUCAAGGUUAUAAAUAAUUCCCAAACUCAGCUUUCUGUUGGUAUUUUAAUGUGGAUUAUUUGCACCCCUCUGUUGGUGUCAUUUCUUUUUACUUAAUGAUCCCUUCCAAGCUGGCACCAGUACAUUCAGUAUUCUGAUGGGACCAAACCACCAUCCCACCUAAGAAUGUCAAUUAUGUUUUGAAAGCAGACAAUUUGAUUUCAUGCAGAAACCACUGUAUAUGCAUGAUGGUGUUUUCAUAAAGACUCCCUUAUUUACUCUAAACAGUGUUAUGACUUUCACUGUAUGGCCACAUAGUAACUGUUUAACCGUCUUACAGUCUUUUCAAGAAAUCUUAAACAAGAAAAAGGAAAGCUUGGUUUCAAGAAUACAUUUUCUGUUCUUAUAAAAAUCAGCUCCUCUAUGAAUAGCUGAAAUGAGGCAAAGCUUCAAAGCUGCAGCCUAGAGUACCAUAAGUACUGUACUGGAGAAAUAACCUCUCAGCCAUGUCUGAAUGGGAAAGGAAAGGAACUUUCUGCCAGCUGAAUGUGUGUUUCCCAACUUUUUCUUCUCAUGUAUAUCUAAAAAGGACACUGGACUAGAAUCCCUAGUAGAUUUCGUAUUUAAGGCUUGUUAGCGAGGGAUUCCCACAGUAGAAUCUGGAAACACACACAGCCACACACACAGGCACACACACACCCCACCCCAUUCCUUUGCUCACUCAGGAUUAUCAGGACUUCACCCUGGGCCAGUUCUGCUACCUGUGCUGCCUGUUUUCUAGAAGCACAAAGAGGCUCAAGUGAGCUUAUCAUCUGAUCAAAAAAGCCAUCAGAAACAAAAAAGCCUCUCUUUCUAUCCCUAUGAAAUGAGAUCCUGGUGGGCAAGAUUCACCCACACUGCUCAAGCCCUUUGAUCCUAUAGACUGAACUAUUUUCAUCCUUUUCAUACCGUGAGUGUACCCACAAGGCACAAACACAAGCAGGUGCACAUGCUCAUGUGCACACAUGCAGUGACAUCAGGGGUGGCCACCUUUUCUUCCAUAUGUCCACUCACCAUGUGACAGAGAGAGCAACAAGGAAAUAAACAUCACUUCACCUCCCCAAACCAAUCCUGGUGUCCUUGUUCAGUGGAUAUGGCACACAUUUCUACAUGGGGGCUCCUGUGUAGGAGCCAGAAACUCUGUGCUUCUCCAGACACAUGCUCGUCUCGAAAUAAUGAGCACAACUGUACAGUGGAGAAUGCAUAUAAACAAUCACAGUACAGUUGAAAACUGCUCUGUGCAGGCUGAUUAUCCACAGUGUACCACGCUCUACCAGGAUCAGUGUGGCGGAGGGGAGCUGUCUCCCCUCUGCCAUUCUUCUAGGAUCAGCUGUUCCAACUCACAGAGAAAACUCCUCAUUAAAAAUAGUCAGAAACAGAAACUGAUAUUGCACCUGAGAAGACUUGAGGA